UAUGGCGUUGUCCAAACAAUGCUGAGGCAAAUUUUCCAUAAUCAAUCGAUGAAGAAUUAUUAUUACAAACGUAACAGGAAUUGCAGGUUUAAUACUAGGUGCAGUUAGAAUGAGCAUUCUAUGUUUAUUGUCUACUACAGCACGUAUUUCAUCGCUGUCUAUAGUUUCCGGUAUAAGUAAGUUUUCUCGAUGUUUAAUAAUCAAUUUUGUUAAAUCGUUAGAUACCGAUUUUUCAAUAAUAUCCGAUAAAUCUUUCCUUAGACGUCUUAGAACGCUCACUCGAAGGUUAUUACCCUUAACAGUUAUUUUCGUGGAGGACAUGUCAACUUCCGGUGCUAGUAACAUCUUAGCCUUCGUAAACGAUGAAUACACGAUGUGAUUAAUAAUUUAAAGAAUUAUAUAUUUACAAUUUAUAUAUAUAUAUAAUUAGGUUAUAAAAUCUAAGGCUUCCUACUAUAUCAUCGAUCAUUUUUUUUUAACCCUCCCUCAAGAAAAAAAAAUGGUUGAUUAAUUUUUUAUCUUAUAAGGUCACUGCUUCGUAUAAGCCAUUAUAAGGGAAAAAUUAAUGAGCUUCCAACCUUUUGAUGGUUUGAUGACUUUUUUUAUAAUACGUGUUAUAAAAAAAUAUUUAUAUAAAAUAAUUUAUCGAUCUCGCGAUGCAUAACAAUGUUGGAAAUGAACAAAAUUUUGUUCUUUCUUAUAUUUUUGAAUGUUUUUCUUGUGUUAUAAAUAUUAGUAUUACAAUUUUUUUGGUAUGUACAUACCUCGUAAAAAUUGUCAGGUCGAAUACCUAUGGAAACUAUUUGCACAAUGUAACUGUUAUCCAAUGAUUUGGUUAAUGAUAUUUUGGUAGAAUCAGUUAUUCUUUUAUCGUGUAAUUUUGGACAGUAAAUGCUACCUGUCUCAUGAUCACCAUGA